UACGGGGGGGGUAAGCGUUGUUCGGAAUUACUGGGCGUAAAGGGCUCGUAGGCGGCCAACUAAGUCGGACGUGAAAUCCCUCAGCUUAACUGGGGAACUGCGUCCGAUACUGGAUGGCUUGGAUUUGGGAGAGGGAUGCGGAAUUCCAGGGUGUAGCGGUGAAAUGCGUAGAUAUCUGGAGGAACACCGGUGGCGAAGGCGGCAUCCUGGACAAUAUUGACGCUGAGGAGCGAAAGCUAGGGGAGCAAACGGG
rnacentral:rRNA from 1 species